UUAAGCGACUAAGCGUACACGGUGGAUGCCCUGGCAGUCAGAGGCGAUGAAGGACGUGCUAAUCUGCGAAAAGCGUCGGUAAGGUGAUAUGAACCGUUAUAACCGGCGAUGUCCGAAUGGGGAAACCCAGUGCAAUUCGUUGCACUAUCGUUAACUGAAUACAUAGGUUAACGAGGCGAACCGGGGGAACUGAAACAUCUAAGUACCCCGAGGAAAAGAAAUCAACCGAGAUUCCCCCAGUAGCGGCGAGCGAACGGGGAGCAGCCCAGAGUCUGAAUCAGCUUGUGUGUUAGUGGAACGGUCUGGAAAGUCCGACGGUACAGGGUGAUAGUCCCGUACACCAAAAUGCACAGGCUGUGAACUCGAAGAGUAGGGCGGGACACGUGGUAUCCUGUCUGAAUAUGGGGGGACCAUCCUCCAAGGCUAAAUACUCCUGACUGACCGAUAGUGAACCAGUACCGUGAGGGAAAGGCGAAAAGAACCCCGGCGAGGGGAGUGAAAAAGAACCUGAAACCGUGUACGUACAAGCAGUGGGAGCACCUUCGGGUGUGACUGCGUACCUUUUGUAUAAUGGGUCAGCGACUUAUAUUCUGUAGCAAGGUUAACCGUAUAGGGGAGCCGCAGGGAAACCGAGUCUUAACUGGGCGUUAAGUUGCAGGGUAUAGACCCGAAACCCGGUGAUCUAGCCAUGGGCAGGUUGAAGGUUGGGUAACACUAACUGGAGGACCGAACCGACUAAUGUUGAAAAAUUAGCGGAUGACUUGUGGCUGGGGGUGAAAGGCCAAUCAAACCGGGAGAUAGCUGGUUCUCCCCGAAAGCUAUUUAGGUAGCGCCUCGUGAACUCAUCUUCGGGGGUAGAGCACUGUUUCGGCUAGGGGGUCAUCCCGACUUACCAACCCGAUGCAAACUACGAAUACCGAAGAAUGUUAUCACGGGAGACACACGGCGGGUGCUAACGUCCGUCGUGAAGAGGGAAACAACCCAGACCGCCAGCUAAGGUCCCAAAGUCAUGGUUAAGUGGGAAACGAUGUGGGAAGGCACAGACAGCCAGGAUGUUGGCUUAGAAGCAGCCAUCAUUUAAAGAAAGCGUAAUAGCUCACUGGUCGAGUCGGCCUGCGCGGAAGAUGUAACGGGGCUAAACCAUGCACCGAAGCUGCGGCAGCGACACUAUGUGUUGUUGGGUAGGGGAGCGUUCUGUAAGCCUGCGAAGGUGUGCUGUGAGGCAUGCUGGAGGUAUCAGAAGUGCGAAUGCUGACAUAAGUAACGAUAAAGCGGGUGAAAAGCCCGCUCGCCGGAAGACCAAGGGUUCCUGUCCAACGUUAAUCGGGGCAGGGUGAGUCGACCCCUAAGGCGAGGCCGAAAGGCGUAGUCGAUGGGAAACAGGUUAAUAUUCCUGUACUUGGUGUUACUGCGAAGGGGGGACGGAGAAGGCUAUGUUAGCCGGGCGACGGUUGUCCCGGUUUAAGCAUGUAGGCUGGUUAUCCAGGCAAAUCCGGAUAAUCAAGGCUGAGGUGUGAUGACGAGGCACUACGGUGCUGAAGUAACAAAUGCCCUGCUUCCAGGAAAAGCCUCUAAGCAUCAGGUAACAUCAAAUCGUACCCCAAACCGACACAGGUGGUCAGGUAGAGAAUACCAAGGCGCUUGAGAGAACUCGGGUGAAGGAACUAGGCAAAAUGGUGCCGUAACUUCGGGAGAAGGCACGCUGGUGUGUAGGUGAAGCCCCUGCGGGUGGAGCUGAGACCAGUCGAAGAUACCAGCUGGCUGCAACUGUUUAUUAAAAACACAGCACUGUGCAAACACGAAAGUGGACGUAUACGGUGUGACGCCUGCCCGGUGCCGGAAGGUUAAUUGAUGGGGUUAUCCGUAAGGAGAAGCUCUUGAUCGAAGCCCCGGUAAACGGCGGCCGUAACUAUAACGGUCCUAAGGUAGCGAAAUUCCUUGUCGGGUAAGUUCCGACCUGCACGAAUGGCGUAAUGAUGGCCAGGCUGUCUCCACCCGAGACUCAGUGAAAUUGAACUCGCUGUGAAGAUGCAGUGUACCCGCGGCAAGACGGAAAGACCCCGUGAACCUUUACUAUAGCUUGACACUGAACAUUGAGCCUUGAUGUGUAGGAUAGGUGGGAGGCUUUGAAGCGUGGACGCCAGUCUGCGUGGAGCCAACCUUGAAAUACCACCCUUUAAUGUUUGAUGUUCUAACGUUGGCCCCUUAUCGGGGUUGCGGACAGUGUCUGGUGGGUAGUUUGACUGGGGCGGUCUCCUCCCAAAGCGUAACGGAGGAGCACGAAGGUUAGCUAAUCCUGGUCGGACAUCAGGAGGUUAGUGCAAUGGCAUAAGCUAGCUUGACUGCGAGCGUGACGGCGCGAGCAGGUGCGAAAGCAGGUCAUAGUGAUCCGGUGGUUCUGAAUGGAAGGGCCAUCGCUCAACGGAUAAAAGGUACUCCGGGGAUAACAGGCUGAUACCGCCCAAGAGUUCAUAUCGACGGCGGUGUUUGGCACCUCGAUGUCGGCUCAUCACAUCCUGGGGCUGAAGUAGGUCCCAAGGGUAUGGCUGUUCGCCAUUUAAAGUGGUACGCGAGCUGGGUUUAGAACGUCGUGAGACAGUUCGGUCCCUAUCUGCCGUGGGCGCUGGAGAAUUGAGGGGGGCUGCUCCUAGUACGAGAGGACCGGAGUGGACGCAUCACUGGUGUUCGGGUUGUCAUGCCAAUGGCACUGCCCGGUAGCUAAAUGCGGAAGAGAUAAGUGCUGAAAGCAUCUAAGCACGAAACUUGCCCCGAGAUGAGUUCUCCCUGAGACUUUAAGUCUCCUGAAGGAACGUUGAAGACGACGACGUUGAUAGGCCGGGUGUGUAAGCGCAGCGAUGCGUUGAGCUAACCGGUACUAAUGAACCGUGAGGCUUAACCUU
rnacentral:rRNA from 1 species